rnacentral:rRNA from 1 species
AAGGUAGCAUAAUCAUUUGCCCUUUAAUUGGGGGCUGGAAUGAAUGGAUAUACGAGAGAGCGGCUGUCUCUACCCCAGGCAUAAAAAUUAGCAUUCAGGUGAAGGGGCUUGAAUUAAAAUAAAGGACAAGAAGACCCUAUUGAGCUUUAUUUUUUAGGGUCAGAGUUUUCGGGCCGAUAAAAUUUGGUUGGGGCGACUGGGGAAUAUCCGUAACUUCCCUGUAUUUUAGGGCUCGCUGGCCUAUUUUGAUCUGAUGUUCAAUUUAGGGAAAAAGCUACCAUAGGGAUAACAGACUAAUCCUCCUAGAGAGUUCACAUUGAUAGGAGGGGUUGGCACCUCGAUGUUGGCUUAGGGCACCCCAUUGGUGUAGAAGCCAGUAAAGGUGGGUUUGUUCAACCCAUAAUGCCCUACGUGAUCUGAGUUCAGACCGGA